AAUAUCUAUAAUAAUUGUACAUAAUAUUUUACGAAGUCUAGUGAGCUAAAUUUGUAAAACUGUAUUAGAAGAGAAAAUUAAUGUUGCAUCAUUAAUCUUAUAUAGAUAUUUAGGGGUGAAAGGCCUAUCAAACUAGAGGAUAUCUUAAUUUUUCGGAAAUAUAUCAAGUAUAUUAUACAUACUUAAAACGUUAAGGUUUUAAGUUAUUUCAAGAUUUUAGAGAAUCAUUAUUUGUUGAAUAUAUAAUAAUUACAAUUUAUAAUUUAAAUAAUUAUUAUUUAUAAGAUAUUCUGAUUUACUACUUAAAAAUUAUACUUAAUUAUUCUAUGUAAUAUAAAAUGAUAUUAUUAGUAAUAUUUUAUAUAUAAUUUAAUUUUAGGAACUCGGCAAAAUCCAUACUCAACUGUUUAACAAAAACAUGCUCUAAGUAAUUCUUUUAGGGUUAACCCUGCUCAAUGAUAAAUUAAAUAGCCGCAGUACUGUGACUGUGCAAAGGUAGCAUAAUCAUUUGGCUUAUAAUUGAAGUCUAGUAUGAAGGGGAAAAUGGGUAUUAGCUGUCUUAAUAUAAGGUAACUAACUUAUUUAAUAAGUGAAAAUACUUAUAAAUAAAUAAAAGACGAGAAGACCCUAGAAAUUUUUUAAAAAACUUUAUUAUAUCUAUUUUGUUGGGGCGACAAAGUUACAAAUAACUUACUUUCUAAUUAACUAAUUAUUAUUUUUUCUAUAGAUAAAAUUACUCUAGGGAUAACAGCAUUAUUUAUUAUUAAGUUUGUGACCUCGAUGUUGGACUAGGAAAAUAUAUAUUUAGAAGAUAUAUUUAUUAGGCUCUGUUCGAGCAAUUUAUUCCUACAUGAUCUGAGUUCAGACCGG
rnacentral:rRNA from 1 species